rnacentral:rRNA from 1 species
UAAACGAUGCCAACCAGCGAUCAGCCUGAGUUCUUUAAAUGACUCGGCUGGCAGCUUCCGGGAAACCAAAGUCUUUGGGUUCCGGGGGAAGUAUGGUUGCAAAGCUGAAACUUAAAGGAAUUGACGGAAGGGCACCACCAGGAGUGGAGCCUGCGGCUUAAUUUGACUCAACACGGGAAAACUCACCCGGCCCGGACACUGGGAGGAUUGACAGAUUGAGAGCUCUUUCUUGAUUCAGUGGGUGGUGGUGCAUGGCCGUUCUUAGUUGGUGGAGCGAUUUGUCUGGUUAAUUCCGAUAACGAACGAGACUCUAGCCUACUAAAUAGACUGCCAGCUCUUCGGCGCUGGCAGGACUUCUUAGAGGGACAGGCGGCGGUUCAGCCGCACGAAACAGAGCAAUAACAGGUCUGUGAUGCCCUUAGAUGUCCGGGGCCGCACGCGCGCUACACUGAAGUGAUCAGCGUGCAUAGGUGACCCGCUCUGAAAGGAGCGGGUAACCGGUGGAACCUUCUUCGUGAUAGGGAUUGGGCAUUGUAGUUAUUGCCCAUGAACGAGGAAUUCCCAGUAAGCGUGAGUCAUAAGCUCGCGUUGAUUACGUCCCUGCCCUUUGUACACACCGCCCGUCGCUACUACCGAUUGAAUGUUUUAGUGAGGUCUUCGGACUGGCCGGCGCAGCUCUCUCGUAGUGCAGCGCUGUGUUUGGAAAGAUGCCCAAACUUGAGCAUUUAGAGGAAGUAAAAGUCGUAACAAGGUUUCCGUAGUGACCUGCGGAAGAUC